CCCUAUUCACUGUUGGCGACUCAGCUGUAAGUUCACAAAUAAAGUAAUUUAAAAAUGUUUCCACUGUUACAUUUUUAAACAUAUCAUGUAAAAACCUGACAUUAUGUCCUUAUUUGACAAACUGCAACACAUUUCCAUUGUAACACAAACAAUUUUAAAUAACACUUAAUCAAUUUUGCCGGCUGAUUACAGUUGAAACUGAAAUGCAGUGAGAUGUGCUGGUUUUCUACAAUUAAACUAAAAAUCUCUUGUCUCUAUUUUUCCAUUUUCCUUUUUGCCAACUCUGUCCUGUCUCCAAGUGCAGACCGCUUUGUGGCGACUCGACGUAAGUUCACACAGGAAUGACACUUUCAUGAAUAAGACAGUGUGCCAUUAUUCAACACAUUAUGGACCCCUCAUCAUGUCCUAACUUAACAAUUUGUUUCCUUUGAUUAUGUAAUACUCACAGUUGGAAAUGAACAGCUUGAAUGUAAUAUGCAGUACACUUAUUUGCAUUUCAUUUCCAAUCCCUGGAAAGCAAUUUAUUACUAUUAGAUUGUGGAGUUGGAAUUUUUUAACGAUGAAAAU